GCUUGUCUCAAAGAUUAAGCCAUGCAUGUCUAAGUAUAAACGACUUUAUACUGUGAAACUGCGAAUGGCUCAUUAUAUCAGUUAUAGUUUAUUUGAUGGUCCUUGCUACUUGGAUAACCGUAGUAAUUCUAGAGCUAAUACAUGCAUCAAGCCCCGACUUCUGGAAGGGGUGUAUUUAUUAGAUGGAAACCAAUGCGGGGCAACCCGGUAUAUGGUGAUUCAUAAUAACUGAUCGAAUCGCAUGCCUUCGGGCGGCGAUGUAUCAUUCAAGUUUCUGACCUAUCAGCUUCCGACGGUAGGGUAUUGGCCUACCGUGGCAAUGACGGGUAACGGGGAAUUAGGGUUCGAUUCCGGAGAGGGAGCCUGAGAAACGGCUACCACAUCUAAGGAAGGCAGCAGG
rnacentral:rRNA from 1 species